rnacentral:tRNA from 1 species
GCCCCAGUAGCUCAGGGCGAUGCUUGCAUCGCAGCAACUGCCUUCUAAGCAGUCGGCCGUAGGUUCGAGUCCUACCUGGGGCGCCA